rnacentral:rRNA from 1 species
GGCGACGCCGAGCGGACCCGAAAAGACCGUCUCAGUUCGGAUUGGAGUCUGCAACCCGACUCCAUGAAGCUGGAUUCGCUAGUAAUCGCGCAUCAGCCACGGCGCGGUGAAUACGUUCCCGGGCCUUGUACACACCGCCCGUCAAGCCAUGGGAGCCGGGAGUGCCUGAAGUACGUGACCGCAAGGAGCGUCCUAGGGUAAGACCGGUGACUGGGGCUAAGUCGUAACAAGGUAUC